AGUGAACCCUCCAGACUACAGCAACACUUUUUCAAUCGAUGCAGACAGUGGAGUAUUGGAAGUAAAUACUGCAGUUGACAGAGAAGAAUGUCCAUAUCUUCUUGUUGGCAUUAAGGCAGCUCAGCAGGACAAUAAUCUUAAAACAGCUGAUGCAGUAGUGCUGGUUACUAUUGAAGAUGUGAACGACAAUUCUCCAGUAUUGUCACAAUCAAAUUACAAUGUCUCAAUUCUAGAAAACUUCCCAGAUGGGAUGGAAGUUCUUCAAGUAACAGCUAUUGACAAAGAUGAGGGAGGCUUCCAGGGAACAUUCAUUCUCGCUCCAGCUGACAGUCCCUUCCACCUAAAUGAAGCUGGGAUCCUGACUGUGAGGAAC
rnacentral:lncRNA from 1 species